rnacentral:rRNA from 1 species
UACGAAGGGUGCAAGCGUUACUCGGAAUCACUGGGCGUAAAGCGUGCGUAGGCGGUUCGUUAAGUCUGCUGUGAAAGCCCUGGGCUCAACCUGGGAACUGCAGUGGAUACUGGCGGACUAGAGUGUGAUAGAGGAUGGUGGAAUUCCCGGUGUAGCGGUGAAAUGCGUAGAGAUCGGGAGGAACACCAGUGGCGAAGGCGGCCAUCUGGAUCAACACUGACGCUGAGGCGCGAAAGCGUGGGGAGCAAACAGG